rnacentral:rRNA from 1 species
ACGCGAAAGGGGGGGCAACUCCCCAAGUAGAGUGGCGAACGGGUGAGUAACACGUGGGUAACCUGCCUCCGGGUUUGGGAUAACACUCCCAAAGGGGUGCUAAUACCGAAUGAUGCAGCGGCUCCGCAUGGAGAUGUUGUUAAAGGUGGCCUCUGCUUGCAAGCUACCGCCUGGAGAUGGACCCGCGUCCGAUUAGCUUGUUGGUGAGGCAACGGCUCACCAAGGCGACGAUCGGUAGCCGGCCUGAGAGGGUGAGCGGCCACACUGGGACUGAGAUAAGGCCCAGUCCCCUACGGGGGCCAGCAGUCUAGAAAUUUGCACAAUGGGCGAAAGCCUGAUGCAGCGACGCCACGUGGGCGAUGAAGCCCUUAGGGGUGUAAAGCCCUGUCAGGAGGAACGAAUGGCGGAGGCGUGAAUAACUCCUCCGAGUGACGGUACCUCCAGAGGAAGCUCCGGCUAACUCUGUGCCAGCAGCCGCGGUAAUACAGAGGGAGCAAGCGUUGUUCGGAAUUACUGGGCGUAAAGGGCGCGCAGGCGGGCUUGUAAGUCAGGCGUGAAAACUAUCGGCUCAACUGAUAGAUUGCGUUUGAGACUGCAGGUCUUGAGUACGGGAGAGGAAGGUGGAACUCUGCGUGUAGCGGUGAAAUGCGUAGAUAUGCAUAGGAACACCAGUGGCGAAAGCGGCCUUCUAGCCCGAUACUGACGCUGAGGCGCGAAAGCGUGGGGAGCAAACAGGA